rfam:Triticum aestivum genome assembly, contig: Triticum_aestivum_CS42_TGACv1_scaffold_577406_7BL
GAAAUACUCCCUCCGUUCAACAAUACUUGUCAUCAAAACGGAUAAAAAGGGAUGUAUCUAAAGCUAAAAUACAUCUACAUAUAUUUCUUUUUCUUAAUUUUGAUGACAAGUAUUUUCGGAGAGAGGGAGUAGAUG